rnacentral:rRNA from 1 species
AGCGGCGGACGGGUGAGUAACGCGUGGGUAACCUGCCUCAUACAGGGGGAUAACAGUUAGAAAUGACUGCUAAUACCGCAUAAGACCACGGUACCGCAUGGUACAGUGGUAAAAACUCCGGUGGUAUGAGAUGGACCCGCGUCUGAUUAGCUAGUUGGUGGGGUAACGGCCUACCAAGGCGACGAUCAGUAGCCGACCUGAGAGGGUGACCGGCCACAUUGGGACUGAGACACGGCCCAA